AUCUAGGGCACAAGGUGUAUUUCAAGCUUGUCGUAAGCAUUGUGAUUGUGGGGCAGAAACAGUGGAGAGGACAUCUUGGACCGAUGAUAAUCCAGGGAGACGGUUCAAAUCUUGCUAUAGGAUGAAAUGGAAUGGGGGUUGUAACUAUUUCCAAUGGAUUGACCCCCCUAUGUGUGAAAGGUCAAAGAUGAUGAUACCUGGUUUGCUAAGAAGAGUACGUGAGUUUGAUGGUGAUCUGGGAAGAUAUUAUGAAUAUGAAGAUAAAUAUGAGUCUUGCUUUGAACCUAGUGUGGAGCCUUUUCAAUGUCAAAAUUGUGGCUAUAUGAAUGGGAUUUUGGAUGGAAGAGUUCAUGCAAGUUCCUGGUUGGUAAAGGGAAAUGUGAGGAAGAUGAUGUUGUUUUUUUUUUUUUUUGUAAUUGUGUAUUGGCUGAAAAAAAUUAUGUAAUGUUCGACUUCCCUGUUUAUUGUAUUUAGUGUUGCUUUGAAGCAUAAUAAAAAUGAUGUAUUUUAUUUAGUGUUCAACCCUUCCCUGAAAAAAAAUCAUGGCUUCAUUGAAUGUAAGAGAAAUACAUUUAUUUAGUGUUGCUUUCAAGCAUAAUAGAAUGAUGCACCAAACCAGAUAUUUUGUCAUUGA